UGGGGAAUAUUGCACAAUGGGCGCAAGCCUGAUGCAGCCAUGCCGCGUGUAUGAAGAAGGCCUUCGGGUUGUAAAGUACUUUCAGCGGGGAGGAAGGUGUUGUGGUUAAUAACCACAGCAAUUGACGUUACCCGCAGAAGAAGCACCGGCUAACUCCGUGCCAGCAGCCGCGGUAAUACGGAGGGUGCAAGCGUUAAUCGGAAUUACUGGGCGUAAAGCGCACGCAGGCGGUCUGUCAAAUCGGAUGUGAAAUCCCCGGGCUCAACCGGGGAACUGCAUCCGAAACUGGCAGGCUUGAGUCUUGUAGAGGGGGGUAGAAUUCCAGGUGUAGCGGUGAAAUGCGUAGAGAUCUGGAGGAAUACCGGUGGCGAAGGCGGCCCCCUGGACAAAGACUGACGCUCAGGUGCGAAAGCGUGGGGAGCAAACA
rnacentral:rRNA from 1 species